ensembl:lncRNA
UAUAUAUAUAUAUAUAUAUAUAUAUAUAUAUAUAUGUUUUUUUUUUUUUUUGUUGUUGUUUUUUUUUUACAUGUAUGUCAAAGUAUAACUAAACAGCAGCCACAGCUGUUCUUUUUAUUGUUGAAAAGUUGAGUUAAUUGUCUUGGGAAAAAAUGCCAUAUUAUUUACCAGUGCUUCAUCAAAUGAAAUAUUUUCUGCUUCUACAAGUUAAAUUUACAGCUUAUAACUGACAUGACACUGACAGUGAUGAUGUAAUGUACCUUCAGCAGAUUUUUUUUUUUUUUUGCUUCAUGACUGAACCUGUGUCCUGAUGCACAGAUUUUUCUUUCUUUUCUAAAAAAAUCUCCAGUAAAACAUCUAAACAAACCUGCGUUAGAUGUGGACAGAAUGCCAGUAGAGACAUUUCUGUGCGCUUGUGCAUUUGUUGUUUUUGUUUUGGGUUUUUUUUGUCAGCUUAAAUUGAAGCUGACUUUAACUCAGAGAAAGGAGAAUGUUUUGCUGUGUAGACACAACCAGUUAACCUGUCAGCGCGUCGACCAGCAGCAGAAACUCAGUGUUUGACUGUAUUUAAAUGUUGCUUUCAUACGAAAUCCAGCCCAGCCUACAUUUUACCCCGAAUGUAUAUAAAAAAAAAAUCUAUUGAUAGGCCUACGAUUAUAUUUUAUACUAGAAUGUUAAAUGUUAUAUACUGUAAUAGUACACACGUGCAAUCCUUAGACAUAGUACAUGCAACAGUUUGACAUAUGGUAUUAAAAAAAUUGCGCAUAAUUUCUUAAACUUUUUUUUUUUUUUUUUAAAGUGAGAAUCCACUGAAAUGCAGAAAUCUUUGUUUCUGAUCCAGAGAUGUUUAAUAAAUCUGUGUGGUCUGGUUUCCAGUCAUAGUAUUGAAUAUUGUAUAUUAUUUCCCAUUUGCUAUAUUUCAAAAUUAAUUUCAUAAAUACAUUAAAGUGUGCAGGGAUUUCAUGUUCCUAAAUUGAACAACCAGACGUAAUGAUAAUAUGUCAAAAUGAGUUUGUUUUUUGGUGGAUUCUCUCUUUAUGUGCAGUGAGUACUUGACAGUACAGAAGCACAGACAAACCAAAGGUAAUUUUAUGCCCAAACUGAUGUUUAUAAAUGUAAAUGUUUUAUGGAAGAUAUAUAUAUAUUUCAUUAUUUGUUGGCCAAGUUUCAACCAGCUGGUUCUCUUCAUUAGGCCGUUACAGUUAACAGGCCCAUGUGUUCUACUGUACUUAUAGGAUAUGUACAAUAUAGUACUAUAGUCUGCAGCAGAUUCUUACAUAGCACUUAUAUAUUUUAAAGGGGACCUAUUAUGCUAAUUUCUAGUUCGGUAUUUUUAUGCUUUUACUUUGCUAGAGUAGCUUUGCAUGACUCAUAGUUCAAAAUAAUUCACAGUUUUUCUCGGACUGGGCCUUGAUGCAGCCCUCCAAUUCAUUCUGUCUGAAAAAAGCCAUUUUAUGGCUUUUCUCUCCCUUAAAGUCAUCUUUCUUCUGAUUGGCUGCCUGUCACAAACAAAAGGCUUAAAGAGCUGGUGGGUGGGGCUUUCUCUUUGACAUCAUACAGAACUAAAAAUAGAAAAGAAGCCUCAGAAACUGAGUGUUUAGAGCCUGAGUUAUAAGGUGACCAGGAUUACAUGUACAUACACUGACCUCGUGUUUUGAAAUUUUAGCCAUGUUUCUUAUAUGCAUCCACCUCAUUAUAUAUUUGACAGAAAUUCAGGAGGAAAAAAAGCAUAAUAGGUCCACUUUACAAAAAGAUCCCACAGAUCAGGCCUGUUGUAGAGAAACAUCUUUGAAGAAAUGUAAUAGUAUAAUAUGCACUGAUACGUCAUGCAAUCCCUUGUUAAGUGCCUUUAAAAAUGUUUACCAUCUGUUUUUGUGUCUGGGAACCUCAGGGGAAGUUAGGAGUGCAAUGGCUUCUUUUAUUGUCUUGUCAAUGAUUAACCUGAAUCUGCUUCCCUUCGAUCACCAUCUGACCGCUUUUGCUUUUAUCUGAAGCCUUCGUAAAGCUGACAGGCCCUUCGGUGUUUUAUUUGAAUCCUCCCACUAUAUCGUUUUUCAUUUAUGUGACUUUUUUUGUAGAUCUGUCAGUUUUAUUGCAGCUUCCUGUACAACAUAAAACCAGGAAUAAAUGGGAUGGAAACUUGUCCUUCUCUUUGUUGUUUAUUUACAAGUUUUACUGAGUAUCUUUACCUGUUUAUUGAAUUAUUUCUGGGUAAAACUUCAUAUAAUGAAACUACUCACCAUCCUUUUGUUAGAAUCGAAAGACUUAUAUGCUUGCUGUCUGAAAUUGCUAGUCAAGUCAAG